GACGAACGCUGGCGGCGUGCUUAACACAUGCAAGUCGAACGGAAAGGCCCCUUUGGGGGUCCUCGAGUGGCGAACGGGUGCGUAACACGUGAGUAACCUGCCCUUGACUUCGGGAUAACUUCAGGAAACUGGGGCUAAUACCGGAUAGGAAUCCUUGCUGCAUGGUGGGGGUUGGAAAGCUUCGGCGGUUUUGGAUGGACUCGCGGCUUAUCAGCUUGUUGGUGGGGUAGUGGCUUACCAAGGCUUUGACGGGUAGCCGGCCUGAGAGGGCGACCGGCCACAUUGGGACUGAGAUACGGCCCAGACGCCUACGGGAGGCAGCAGUGGGGAAUAUUGCACAAGGGGCGGAAGCCUGAUGCAGCAACGCCGCGGGCGGGAUGACGGCCUUCGGGUUGUAAACCGCUUUCAGCAGGGGCGAAGCUUGUGGUGACGGUACCUGCAGAAGAAGCACCGGCUAACUACGUG
rnacentral:rRNA from 1 species